UGGGAGACACAAAUUAGUGGUAAACCUGAUAUGUCUGGAGCCAAGUUCUGACUCUAUGUGAGAUGGCUUUCACUGCAGAACCAAGACAGGGUGGUAUAACACCAAAGAGGGCAGCCUGGGUUUAAAACCUGUUGCAUCACAAAGCCUUGAGGCAAAUGGGGCUAAUCGCUUAGCUUCAAGGGCUGCUAUGCAGUGUUCACCAGCUUCAAGGGACACAGUCUUGUCUUUCAAUAACUCAGAAGG